ensembl:snRNA U6 U6 spliceosomal RNA
GUGCUCACUUCGACAGCACAUAUCCUAAAAUUGGAAGGAUACAGAGAAGAUUAGCAUGGUCCCUGUGUAAGAAUGACACACAAAUUCAUGAAACACUCCAUGUUUUA